UACGGAGGGUGCAAGCGUUAUCCGGAUUCACUGGGUUUAAAGGGUGCGUAGGCGGGCAUGUAAGUCAGUGGUGAAAUCUCCGGGCUUAACCCGGAAAUUGCCGUUGAUACUAUGUGUCUUGAAUAUCGUUGAGGUUUGCGGAAUAUGUCAUGUAGCGGUGAAAUGCUUAGAUAUGACGUAGAACACCAAUUGCGAAGGCAGCAGGCUACACGAACAUUGACGCUGAGGCACGAAAGCGUGGGGAUCAAACAGG
rnacentral:rRNA from 1 species